UCCGUAGGGUGCGAGCGUUGUCCGGAAUUACUGGGCGUAAAGAGCUCGUAGGUGGUUUGUCGCGUUGUCCGUGAAAACUCACAACUCAAGUGUGGGCGUGCGGGCGAUACGGGCAGACUGGAGUACUGCAGGGGAGACUGGAAUUCCUGGUGUAGCGGUGGAAUGCGCAGAUAUCAGGAGGAACACCGGUGGCGAAGGCGGGUCUCUGGGCAGUAACUGACGCUGAGGAGCGAAAGCGUGGGGAGCGAACAGG
rnacentral:rRNA from 1 species